rnacentral:rRNA from 1 species
CCUACGGGGGACAGCAGUGGGGAAUAUUGGUCAAUGGGCGCAAGCCUGAACCAGCCAAGUCGCGUGAGGGAUGACGGUCCUAUGGAUUGUAAACCUCUUUUGUCGGGGAGCUAGGCCCGCCACGUGUGGCGGGAAGGAGAGUACCCGAAGAACAAGCAUCGGCUAACUCCGUGCCAGCAGCCGCGGUAAUACGGAGGAUGCGAACGUUAUCCGGAUUUAUUGGGUUAAAAGGGUGCGUAGGCGGAAGGUUAGGUCAGCGGUAAAAUGUCGGUGUUCAACACCGGCCUGCCGUUGAAACUGGUCUUCUAGAGUAUGCGAGAAGUAUGUGGAAUGCGUGGUGUAGCGGUGAAAUGCGUAGAUAUCACGCAGAAC